UACAUGUGUGUGUACGUGUGUAUAUAUUUAGAGAGAGAGAUGAACAAUGGUGAGGCGAAGUGCGUAUUUGAUUUGGAAAAGCCCUCAGUUUAUCGAUGCCAUUCGAGAACGGGAAUUAGAUCUCCGAAGCUUGUUUUCUCUGAAAAUUAGUUCCAUCAUUUCAAUGUAUAUGUAUGUGGUUGAUGUAUGGAUGGUUAGUUUGAACAGGAAAUAGAAAAGGUGUUAUAUCGACGAAGCCUGGUGCUACUCAGGCACCAAAUCAGGUCAGCUUCCGGCUGAUCCCAAAAUCAAUGACAGUGACAAAAGUGAAAGCCCCCAACUGGAAGAUCUGAUGAAAAACAAGCUAAUAAUGAAACUCAGCCGCUGAAUCUGAACAAAAAAAAAAUGAUGGGCCUGCAAAAAUGAAAGAGGUGGGUUCAUAUCUAUGUGACAGGAUAAACACAUCAUUCAUGCAUGAAAUCAGGUUUUGAGUACGCUGAACCUAUGUUUUGAGUGUAUACCCCAAUUUUUAAAUUGUUCGAUUUAUUUUUCAAUAAUUACUUUUAGAAAUUAUUCUU